rnacentral:rRNA from 1 species
UUACCAGGUCUUGACAUCCUUUGACCACUCUAGAGAUAGAGCUUCCCCUUCGGGGGCAAAGUGACAGGUGGUGCAUGGUUGUCGUCAGCUCGUGUCGUGAGAUGUUGGGUUAAGUCCCGCAACGAGCGCAACCCUUAUUGUUAGUUGCCAUCAUUCAGUUGGGCACUCUAGCAAGACUGCCGGUGACAAACCGGAGGAAGGUGGGGAUGACGUCAAAUCAUCAUGCCCCUUAUGACCUGGGCUACACACGUGCUACAAUGGGAAGUACAACGAGUUGCGAAGUCGCGAGGCUAAGCUAAUCUCUUAAAGCUUCUCUCAGUUCGGAUUGCAGGCUGCAACUCGCCUGCAUGAAGCCGGAAUCGCUAGUAAUCGCGGAUCAGCACGCCGCGGUGAAUACGUUCCCGGGCCUUGUACACACCGCCCGU